GAGGCCCCCAUUGGUCCUCCCGCAACACUAACCUGUGAACUCGGCCAGACCCGGAAGGGAGCAACCGCAGCAGGUGACGUGUGUGCCGGGAUGUGGCUGGUGGGGGCUUCCACCCAUCU
rnacentral:SRP_RNA from 1 species